GACGAACGCUGGCGGCGUGCUUAACACAUGCAAGUCGAACGGAAAGGCCCUGCUUUUGUGGGGUGCUCGAGUGGCGAACGGGUGAGUAACACGUGAGUAACCUGCCCUUGACUUUGGGAUAACUUCAGGAAACUGGGGCUAAUACCGGAUAGGAGCUCCUGCUGCAUGGUGGGGGUUGGAAAGUUUCGGCGGUUGGGGAUGGACUCGCGGCUUAUCAGCUUGUUGGUGGGGUAGUGGCUUACCAAGGCUUUGACGGGUAGCCGGCCUGAGAGGGUGACCGGCCACAUUGGGACUGAGAUACGGCCCAGACUCCUACGGGAGGCAGCAGUGGGGAAUAUUGCACAAUGGGCGGAAACCUGAUGCAGCAACGCCGCGUGCGGGAUGACGGCCUUCGGGUUGUAAACCGCUUUCGCCUGUGACGAAGCGUGAGUGACGGUAAUGGGUAAAGAAGCACCGGCUAACUACGUG
rnacentral:rRNA from 1 species